UUUAUUUGAACCCUUCGAGGAAAGAGGCCAAAUUAGACAAAGGACCAAAAGACUAACCAGAUAUUAAAGAUGCAGUGGAGUCUCUUUCUGCUGAUUCUGAUGGGUCAGUGUUUCGUCUCCACCUGUUACCUGUAUGAGUACCACUUUAUUAGAGAAGACAAAACCUGGGAAGAAGCACAGAAAUACUGCAGAGAGAAUUAUGCAGACCUGGCCAGCGUGUUUGACAUGGCAGACAUGGCGAGACUGCGUGAAUCCAAAGAGUAUGAAGGUAAAGCCUGGAUUGGACUGUUCAGCAACCCAGGAAAAGAAAACAGGAUGUGGCAUUGGUCUCUGCCAGGGGUGA